GGGUGAUUAGCUCAGCUGGGAGAGCACCUCCCUUAUGACUUUUAAUCAAUUGGUCGCAGGUUCGAAUCCUGCACGACCCACCA
rnacentral:tRNA from 1 species